rnacentral:miRNA from 1 species
CAGAGUAUGUGUGUUUGUAUAUGUGUGUAUAUAAUGCAGUGUGUUUGUGUAGUGUGCAUUAUAUAAACACACUACACAAACACACUGCAUUAUAUACACACACUGCAAACACACUG